ensembl:lncRNA
UUCUCUUUUUGUGUUUCAGUGUGACAGCGACAGUGAUCAAGAAGAAAAGGAUGUUCCUUAUGCAGAGGAAGAUGAUAAACGGAAUUUCAGCUUCUCUGUUUAUGGCACCCAGAACUAAAAGUGCAAUUUCCUGUCACUGCAGCAUUUAUGGAGCUGAACCUCUGCCUGUCUCACUGAAUUUUUCUCUUGCAGCACUCCUGUGUAAAAAGGAUGCUUGGAAACCAAACUGUAUUUGGGAUAUUUUUUCCUCACCCCUGGGAGGAAUGAGGGAAGGAAGAGUUUGGUAGCACUUCAAGGGGAAAACAUCCCUCUGGUUGGUGCCAGGGCUGUGGCAGAGAGACAGCUGGGAGCCAUCUACAUUUACACCACCACAGCCACGCAGUGCUACAGUGAUAUUUCUGCCCUUCUUACGGUUUAAAACUCUGCCAGGGUUUCCGUUUGCU